UACGGGGGGAGCAAGCGUUGUUCGGAUUUACUGGGCGUAAAGGGCGCGUAGGCGGCGCAACAAGUCACUUGUGAAAUCUCCGGGCUUAACCCGGAGCGGUCAAGUGAUACUGUCGUGCUAGAGUGCGGAAGGGGCUACUGGAAUUCUCGGUGUAGCGGUGAAAUGCGUAGAUAUCGAGAGGAACACCUGCGGCGAAGGCGGGUAGCUGGGCCGACACUGACGCUGAUGCGCGAAAGCCAAGGGAGCGAACGGG
rnacentral:rRNA from 1 species